rnacentral:rRNA from 1 species
UACGGAGGGGGCUAGCGUUGUUCGGAAUUACUGGGCGUAAAGCGUACGUAGGCGGCUUUGUAAGUUAGAGGUGAAAGCCCGGGGCUCAACUCCGGAAUUGCCUUUAAGACUGCAUCGCUUGAAUCAUGGAGAGGUGAGUGGAAUUCCGAGUGUAGAGGUGAAAUUCGUAGACAUUCGGAAGAACACCAGUGGCGAAGGCGGCUCACUGGACUGGUAUUGACGCUGAGGUGCGAAAGCGUGGGGAGCAAACAGG